CAACAUCCAUUUCAUCUGCUUCACUAUCCUCCACUAUCACCACCUCUACCACUUCAUCCUCGUCAUCCUCAAUGACCACCACCUCUUGCCUGUGGUCGUCGUAAACCUCGACAUCAGUGUCCUCGUUGAUUACAAUAACCUCUUGCUUCUUUGUGGGUUCCUCAGGCAUCAUCGGUGAUGUUGCAAUGGUGGGUGUGUUAUCCAAUUGUGCUGACCCAUAUCCAAGACGAACGCCCUCAAGAAAGCCAUCACAGCUAUCAUGCUUAGCUGUACGGGUGAAACGCCAGCCAUAGGCAAUUUUCAUUGCAACUUGUUCAGUAUAUUCAACAGGCAGGCCGAUGCCUCUGAGGAAUUUGCCAACAGUCUCACCAGCAGCUUUAUCGAACUUUGUAGAACUAUUCCUGAGCUUUCGAUGGAGUGGCUUGCGGUUGUAUUUAAAAGACUUUAUAUCCUGAA
rnacentral:sRNA from 2 species